ensembl:lncRNA
CCCCCCCCUCCCCGCGGAAGGGAAAAGGGAGAAAAAAGAGAGAGAACUGAGAAGCCCCGGCCCAGCCCGAGCCGAGGUGCUCCUGAGGGCGGGGGCGGGGGGGUCCCAGCCUUCUCCACCCCCACCCGCAGAGGGAGACCGAAGCGCGAGGAGUUUCCCCUCCUCACCAAGCAGCAGAUUGCCGCUUCCCUAAUGCUUAUCCCCCCGUGUCCCUGUGGAAAGAUAAAUCCCCGGCAUUUACCUCGGUCCGGGGAGGAGAGAGGGCAGAGAAAGCCUCAAACCCACCAACGCCGACUUAUGAAAAUCACGCGGUCGCUUGAGGAUGACGGACGCCGUUACUCCGAUUUGACGGCUAAGGGGAACGUUUCACUGCUGGCAGCUCCGAAGACAGAGCUCUCCGGAUCCAUCCCUCCUCACUCGUCGCUUUCACUGCCCCUCCCUCCCUUCUGCCUGACCCUUCGGGGCCCGCGCCGUCGGGCCGAGGGCACUCCCGGCCUCCUCCUCUCCGCUCUCCCCCAGAUGCCAUAUGAACCAAGGGAUGGAACAUGUCCUCUUUGAAGACAGGCUGAGAGAGAUUGGGCUGUUCAGCCUGGAGAAGAGAAGGCUCUGGGGAGACCUGAGAGCAACCUUUCAGCAUCUGAAGAGGGGCUAUAAGAAAGAAAGCUACUGACUCUUUAGCAGGGUCUGUUGUGAUGGGACAGGGAGAAAUGGUUUCAAACUAAAAGAGGAGAGAUUCCAAUUGGAUGUAAGGAAGAAGUUCUUUACAAUACGUGUGGUGAGGUGCUGGAACAUCUUGCACAGAGAGAUGGUGGAUGCCCUGUCCCUGGAGGCAUUCAAGGUCAAGCUGGAUGGGGCCCUGAGCAACCAGAUGUAGCUGUAAUUGUCCCUGUUCAUUGCAGGGAAGUUGGGCUAGAUGGUCUCCAAGGGUCCCUUCCAACUCAAACAAUUCUAUAAUUCUGUAAUCUUCUGAUUCUAUGAAAUAUUUAUUACCUGAUUGCAUUUUCCAAAAUGUUUUUCCUUUCAUUGCCCUUGAAUAGUUUUUGUCUGCACAACUGUAUUUAUUAUUCAGAAAUACUUAUCAGAUGCUUCAUACAAAUAAGUCACUUAAAUUAUGUUUUGUAGUGCAGUUGAUUUAUAUCACCUAGUAUUGUGAACACUUGAUUGCAUGACUUAAAACCAAAUGGGAAAUAAAAUGUAAUGCCACAUAGUACAGUCAAUUAGCAGUCAGUAAUUCUGAAAUGGGACCAUAUCACAUAGCAUUUGUUUGAAUACCUACGAAUUCAAUAGAAGUCUUCAGCUAAUCUUUGUAAAACAUGUUUGUCAAGUCUGAGGAUAGAAAUAUUUUUCUGUUACCUAAUCUAAACCUCAGGUCUGCAGCUGUCUAAAUUCCAUGUGAUGAGCUUUUAUUUAUUUAUUUACUUUAAAAUCCAUUUACUGGACUCAUUAAAGACAAGAACAGUAGGAAAAACCUACUCCUAAUUUUCAAAUGGAUGUCCUAAAGAAUUUUACAGUAAGCAUCCCAACAGGUUUGGCUCAGAGCUAAGGGAAGACUCAUGGAUGUUGACUGAGUUGCUCACGUUUCUACAUCGUAGUCCAAUGACUUUAACCCUGUAUAUUCUCAUGAAAGCAAGAGCACAGCAUCACAUAGUCUAAAGUGAUAUAAAAUAAUUCUAAAAGUUUACAGUUAUCUAACCACUGUCUUUUGUUUUUAUUACAAGCAACACAUGCUCCAUGCCUAUUUAAAAUGAAGGCUUCUGAUUGAGCCAUUAGAAGUCAGUAACAAUACAUAGUGAACUUGAGAAAAAAUCUGUAGAGAUUUUGUUCUACAGAUUCUUCAGAACAUUAAUUUCACAUCCUGUUCUUUAAAAUGCGUUCCCUUUUGUAGCAAUAAUUAUUGAGGAUGUGAGUAAAUCAGAGUCUGAAUCAUUUAAGACCUCUACAUCCAUGAAUAAUGAUCACCAGUGACUAUUUCUAAGCUAUGUAUUUAUGCAGUAAUUUGAACAAUGAAAUCUUGAUGUGUUUCUUGAAAAUAAACAUUUAAAUAAACAUCUUCUUCUGCACUGAGAUG